UAAGAAGCAUUCCUUUUUGAUGGUGUGUUUAAAGCUGUGGCUUCUGGAUUCAAAGCCAACCCCUUCACUCUCCAAAGCACUUUGGUGCCAAGCAGAGCUGGAACUCCAGUGACAAGCACAUGGAGCUGCAAACCUGCUGAGGGCUGCCUCUUACUGCUGACCUUCACACAGAAAGCCUUGGAUGCUGGCAUGAUUGGAAGGGCCAUUAAGGCAAGACAGAGUUUGAGAGAAUCCAAGCAAACCUGAGUCUGAGCCCUCAGUCUCACUGUGUGCACAGGUAUUUAUUGAGACAAAAGAGGUCAUGCAGCAGUUUGAGGUGUGCAAGCUGCCUGCUGCUGCAGAAAGAGCAACCCUCCUGCCACCUCCUGUGUGACUUGGAAGUCUCUCACCUCAUCCUGCAGCAAGCUCUCUGCUGCUCUUGAGAGGAUCCCUGGCCUUGCUGUGCCUGGAGCUGUUGCUGGGCCCUGUUGCCAGCACCCCUAGAGGCUGCCUGAUCUCUGUCCUGCCUCCACUGCGCUGCCCUCGGCUCCUCAGCAUCGGGGAAAUUUCA